GGCUAACUACGUGCCAGCAGCCGCGGUAAGACGUAGGAUGCAAGCGUUGUCCGGAUUUAUUGGGCGUAAAGAGUUCGUAGGUGGUUUGUUAAGUUUGGUGUUAAAGAUUGGGGCUCAACCCUGAAACUGCACUGAAUACUGGCAGACUCGAGUGUGGUAGAGGCUAGUGGAAUUCCCAGUGUAGCGGUGAAAUGCGUAGAUAUUGGGAAGAACACCGGUGGCGUAGGCGACUAGCUGGGCCAUAACUGACACUGAGGAACGAAAGCCAGGGGAGCGAAUGGGAUUAGAUACCCCAGUAGUCCUGGCCGUAAACGAUGGAUACUAGGCGUAUCGGGUAUCGACCCCUGAUGUGCCGCAGCUAACGCGAUAAGUAUCCCGCCUGAGUAGUACGGCCGCAAGGUUGAAACUCAAAGGAAUUGACGGG
rnacentral:rRNA from 1 species